rnacentral:rRNA from 1 species
CGAGAGGCCCAAACGUUAUUCGGAUUUACUGGGCUUAAAGAGUUCGUAGGCGGCGCGGAAAGUAGGGUGUGAAAGCCCUCGGCUCAACCGAGGAAUUGCGCCCUAAACUACCGUGCUCGAGGAAGCUAGAGGUGAGCGGAACUGAUGGUGGAGCGGUGAAAUGCGUUGAUAUCAUCAGGAACACCGGAGGCGAAGGCGGCUCACUGGGGCUUUUCUGACGCUGAGGAACGAAAGCCAGGGGAGCGAACGGGAUUAGAUACCCCGGUAGUCCUGGCCGUAAACGAUGAGCACUGGACCGGAGGACUGCACAGUCUUUCGGUCGUAGCGAAAGUGUUAAGUGCUCCGCCUGGGGAGUAUGGUCGCAAGGCUG